AACCCCCUAAACCCUAACCCCUAUCUCAGAAGUUACACCCUAUCUACUGGUCAUGGAGUUCUGUCCUCUGGGCGACCUGAAGAGUUACCUGCGCAGCUGUCGGGCGGCUGACUCCGUGACCCCUGAUCCCCUGACCCUCCAGCGAAUGGCGUGCGAGAUCGCCUCGGGCCUGCUGCACCUUCACAAGCACAACUUCAUUCACAGUGACCUGGCCUUAAGGAACUGCUUCUGACCUCAGAGAGGACAGUAAAGAUAGGAGACUAUGGCCUCUCACACAGCAGAUACAAGGAUGACUACUUUGUGACUCCAGACCAGAUCUGGGUGCCGCUGCGUUGGAUCGCCCCAGAGCUCAUAGACGAGGUCCAUGGUAACCUACUAGUGGUGGACCAGACUAAGGACAGCAACGUCUGGUCUCUGGGAGUGACUAUCUGGGAGUUGUUUGAGUUGGGGAACCAGCCGUACAGACACUACACUGACAGACAGGUCCUGACCUACGCUGUGAAGGAACAGCAGCUCAAACUAACCAGGCCCCGGCUCAAAGUACCCCUGGCUGAGC